GGCAUUAUGCCAGUGCAAAUUAGUCAAAUUCUGACAAUAAGCAAGUAACAUUCAAAUCUUCCAAUUGACAUUUUUUUUGUUCAGCUUAACUCAGAAAGAAAAGGAACAACAAUGCCGAACCAUCACUGGCGCGCAUACUAUAAAUGCGCUAUUUGUGGAGAUGAAUAUGACAGAAUUAACAGUCAACCAAAUCAGAGUGUCCCAUGUCAAAAAUGUGGCGCUACUAAUUAUCCAAAACUAAAGUUUCAGGUGUACAGAGUACAUGGUCAAACAGAGUCACGCAUGUAAGCUAUUACACAUUUAGCUUACAUUUUAACCGAUGAUAACAAUCGAUAGCCGGACUGUCUUUCAACAGUAGAUAAAACUUCAAAGAAAACAAUUUUUUCGCAUAAAAUAUUACUUUGACUGAAUAAAAAGAUCCAAUUCGUCAUUUGGCAAAAUAUCAACACAA